ensembl:lncRNA
GGAAGGCUUUCUUAUCUCUUCUUGCUAUUCUUUGGAACUCUGCAUUCAGAUGCUUAUAUCUUUCCUUUUCUCCUUUGCUUUUCGCUUCUCUUCUUUUCACAGCUAUUUAUAAGGCCUCCCCAGACAGCCAUUUUGCUUUUUUGCAUUUCUUUUCCAUUGCUCCCUAAUUUCUGGCAUACCCUCAAGAUUAAAUUCUGUAUUUUAUCCAUGUGUUUUUGGCUAUGCUCUGUAUUAUGCACUUGUAGCUACCUCAUAGCAGUGCUUAAUACAAUCUGUUAUUGUUUAUGUCCUCUAUUCUCCUGUCUCUUUCAGACUUAUACUCUUUGAGGAUGGAGACUGUCUAUUGGUCAGUGUAACCCAGGUGCCCAGGGCUUGGCUCAUGGUUAGCUCACAGUUUAUUCAAAAGUUUGUAGACUGAAUCCAUGAAUGAAUAUAUCCAUAUAUGGACAGAUGAAUGAAGAGACACAUGGGUUAAUGGAUGAGUGGGGAGAUGAUUAAGUGCAUUAACAGAUGGUUAAGGGUAACUCCCAAGUCAGCGUUUCAGUUUAUUCAGUUCUUACAUCUCCAGAUGCCUAUUCCACUUGGCUCUUUUGCUGUCAUCUCAACCUAUACAAACCUGAGCACUGCCCUAGGUGAUUCCUUAUCUCUUUUCAGACAAUGGUGUUCCUUUCACUGGUCCUCUGUUUAUUUCAUUCAGUCAGCAGUGUUUUUUGCUCAUUUGUUUGGCUAUCUGCUGUGUGCCAAACAGAGUUGUAGAGAAUGGAUACAGAGUCCCUAAGACAGGCAAGUUUCCAGGGGACUCAAAGGAGUUCCCAGUCCACAGUAGGGUGCAAGGUGAUGUAACAAACAGUCAGCAAGUAAAAAGUUGGCAAGAUAAUAACAGAGCAUAAUGAGUGAUACCUUAAGGAAAAAAGAGAAUGAUGAGAUAGAAAGAAAGGACCUCACAGCAGAUAAGAUGGUUGGGGUGGGGGGGCUUGUUUGAUAUGUGAUAUUAAGCAAGACCUGAAGGAUGAGAAUAAGCCACUGAAUAUAAGAGCAAAAAGAAGAACAUUCCAGGCAGAGAAACCAGCAAAUGCAAGGGCUGUAGGACUGCAAAGAGCCUGGUGUGUUUCAGGUUUGAAAAGGGGACCAGUGAGGCUGUGAACAGCAGGUGAAUGUAUAAAAGGAGGUUGUUAACAGACAUGGGCCAGGGCCUGCAGGGCCUGGAAGGCCAUGGUUAGGAGUCAAAUUUUAUUCUAAGGACAUUGGCAAGCCAUUGAAGAGCCUCAAAUUGGAGAAUUACAUGAUCCAUCUCGCAGGUGGCAAGGAGCUGCCCUGAAAAGCCCCAGGUGCAGAUGAUUCACAGAUACAAAGAUUUCACUAUUUUGGUAUCAUUCCUGUGUCUGUGGUCAUGACACUGUUACAAGAAUGAAAAGAUAAGUCACAGACCUGGAGAAAAUAUUGACAAAAAGUGCAUCUGAAAAAGGACUGUUAUCCAAAAUGCACAGAAACUCUUGACCCUCAGCAAUAAGAAAACGAACAACCUGAUUAAAAAGGAGGCAAACUGAGCAGACGCCUCCCCAGAGCAGACACCUCCCCAGAGCAGACGCCUCCCCAGAGCAGACGCCUCCCCAGAGCAGAUGUAUAGAUGGCAAAUCAGCAUAUAGAAAGGUGCUCCACAUCAUAUCUCAUUAGGGAAAUGCAAAUUAAGACAAUGAGAUACCACUGCCCAACUAUUAAGAAGGCCAUAAUCCAGAACACGGAUACCCCAAAUGCUGGCAAGGAUGUGGAGCUACGGGAGUUCUCAUUCAUUCCUGGUGGGAAUGUAAAACAUCUUCCACAGUCGCUGUGGAAGACAAGCACUUUCCACAAAACUAAGUAUACUUUUCUACUAUGCAGUAACCAUGCUGUAUUUACUCAAAUGAAUUGAAAAUGUAUAUUCAUUCAAAAACUUGCACAUAAAUAUUGAUAGAAGUUUUAUUUAUAUUUGCUAAGAUUUGGCAGCAACCAUGAUAUUCUUCAGUAGAUGACUAAAUGAACUACGGUAUGUCCAAACAAUGAAAUAUUAUUUAGUGCUAAUAAGAAAUAAAAUAUCAAGCUAUGAAGACAUGAAUGAACCUUAAAUGCCUAUUACUCAGUGGAAAAUAAUCCAAUCUGAAACGGUUACAUGUUUAAUGAUUCCAACUGUAUGAUAUUCUGAAAAAGGCAAGACUAUGGAGACAGUAGGGAAGCCCUGGUGGCUCAGACAACAAGAAUCUACCUACAAUGCAGGAGACAGUUUUGAUCCCUGGGUCAGGAAGAUCCCCUGGAGAAGGAAAUGGCAACUCACUCCAGUAUUCUUGCCUGAAGAAUUCCACGGACAGAAGAGCCUGGCAGGCUACAGUCCAUUGGGUCGAAGAGAGUCAGACACAACUGAGCGACUCACAUACUGCUACAUGGAGACAGUAAAAAGUUCAUUGAUUGCCAGGAGCAAGGGGGAAGGGAAGGAUGAAUCUGCAGAACAUGGAGGAUUUUUAAGGCAGUGGAAUUGUUCUAUAGGAUACUAUGGUGGUGGUUACAUGUCAAACAUUUGUCAAAAUCCAUGGAGUGUAAAACUCUAAGAGUGAACCGUAAUGUAGACUGUGAAUUCUGAAUGACGAUUGUGUCAAUGUAGGUUCAUUGAGCAUAAUGAAUAUACUGCUCUGGUGCAGGAUGUUGGUAGUUGGAG